AAGUCGUAACAAGGUUUCCGUAGGUGAACCUGCGGAAGGAUCAUUAGUGAAUCGAACGCCGGCCCCGGCCGCGUCCCUCUCGCUUACCCUGUGCACCGUGCAUUUUUUGCGCAUUGAAGUCACUGGAUGUAAACAUCAAUACAUUGGCA
rnacentral:misc_RNA from 1 species